UACGUAGGGGGCAAGCGUUGUCCGGAAUCAUUGGGCGUAAGCGCGUGUAGGCGGCCCGGUAAGUCCGCUGUGAAAGUCGGGGGCUCAACCCUCGAAAGCCGGUGGAUACUGUCGGGCUCGAGUGCGGAAGAGGCGAGUGGAAUUCCUGGUGUAGCGGUGAAAUGGCGCAGAGUAUCAGGAGGAACACCGAUUGCGAAGGCAGCUCGCUGGGACGUUACUGACGCUGAGACGCGAAAGCGUGGGGAGCAAACAGG
rnacentral:rRNA from 1 species